rnacentral:rRNA from 1 species
UAUCUCUGUAGAGUCUGCAUAUCAAUAAGCGGAGGAAAAGAAACUAACUAGGAUUCCCUUAGUAACGGCGAGUGAAGCGGGAAGAGCUCAAAUUUGAAAUCUUCAAGGUUUUACCUUGACGAAUUGUAGUUUAAAGAAGUGUUUUCUGUUGGAAGUUUCGGUAAAAGUUCUUUGGAAUAGGACAUCAUAGAGGGUGAGAGUCCCGUAUUUGACCAUUAUUUCCAGCUUUGUGAUACACUUUCAAAGAGUCGGAUUGUUUGGGAAUGCAGUCCAAAGUGGGUGGUAAAUUUCAUCUAAAGCUAAAUACUGGCGAGAGACCGAUAGCGAACAAGUACCGUGAGGGAAAGAUGAAAAGAACUUUGAAAAGAGAGUUAAACAGUACGUGAAAUUGUCAAAAGGGAAGCGUUUGACACCAGUGUUGUUUUCUCGAAAAUCAAUUAAAAAAGGCAGGAUUUUGUGUUGUAUUGACUUUAUCAGCUUUCUGCACUCUUUUCUUGUCUUUUUUUAAUGCACUUUUCGUUUAACAAGUCAACAUCAAUUUCUUUUGUUGUAAAAGGGUCAUUGGAAGGUGGCUUUCUUUUCGGAGAAAGUGUUUAUAGCCUUCGGCCUCUGCAAUCGGAGAGAUUGAGGUCUGCAGCGUAGAUCCUUCGGGGUUAGAUACAUUUGUGCUAAGUUAUAGCCUUUCAUAGACAACUUGUUGACUAUGAUCAGUCAUGUAGCUUACUCGCUUAUGCUAUUUUACCUACGCUUAGGAUGUUGAAGAUGUAGCACAUCAU